rnacentral:misc_RNA from 1 species
GGAAGGAUCAUUACCGAGUGCGGGCCCUCGCGGCCCAACCUCCCACCCUUGUCUCUAUACACCUGUUGCUUUGGCGGGCCCACCGGGGCCACCUGGUCGCCGGGGGACGUCGUCUCCGGGCCCGCGCCCGCCGAAGCGCUCUGUGAACCCUGAUGAAGAUGGGCUGUCUGAGUACUAUGAAAAUUGUCAAAACUUUCAACAAUGGAUCUCUUGGUUCCGGCAUCGAUGAAGAACGCAGCGAAAUGCGAUAAGUAAUGUGAAUUGCAGAAUUCCGUGAAUCAUCGAAUCUUUGAACGCACAUUGCGCCCCCUGGCAUUCCGGGGGGCAUGCCUGUCCGAGCGUCAUUUCUGCCCUCAAGCACGGCUUGUGUGUUGGGUGCGGUCCCCCCGGGGACCUGCCCGAAAGGCAGCGGCGACGUCCGUCUGGUCCUCGAGCGUAUGGGGCUCUGUCACUCGCUCGGGACGGACCUGCGGGGGUUGGUCACCACCAUAUUUUACCACGGUUGACCUCGGAUCAGGUAGGAGUUACCCGCUGAACUUAAGCAUAUCAAUAAGCGGAGGAAAAGAAACCAACCGGGAUUGCCUCAGUAACGGCGAGUGAAGCGGCAAGAGCUCAAAUUUGAAAUCUGGCCCCUUUGGGGUCCGAGUUGUAAUUUGCAGAGGAUGCUUCGGGUGCGGUCCCCAUCUAAGUGCCCUGGAACGGGCCGUCAUAGAGGGUGAGAAUCCCGUCUGGGAUGGGCGGCCGUGCCCGUGUGAAGCUCCUUCGACGAGUCGAGUUGUUUGGGAAUGCAGCUCUAAGCGGGUGGUAAAUUUCAUCUAAAGCUAAAUACUGGCCGGAGACCGAUAGCGCACAAGUAGAGUGAUCGAAAGAUGAAAAGCACUUUGAAAAGAGAGUUAAACAGCACGUGAAAUUGUUGAAAGGGAAGCGUUGUCCACCAGACUCGCCCGGGGGGGUUCAGCCGGCACGUGUGCCGGUGUACUCCUCUCCGGGCGGGCCAGCAUCGGUUUGGGCGGCUGGUGAAAGGCCCCGGGAAUGUAACACCCUUCGGGGUGCCUUAUAGCCCGGGGUGCCAUACAGCCAGCCUGGACCGAGGCCCGCGCUUCGGCGAGGAUGCUGGCGUAAUGGUGGUCAACGGCCCGUCUUGAAACACGGACCAAGGAGUCUAACAUCUAUGCGAGUGUUCGGGUGUCAAACCCGUCCGCGCAGUGAAAGCGAACGGAGGUGGGAGCCCCUCGGGGCGCACCAUCGACCGAUCCUGAUGUCUUCGGAUGGAUUUGAGUAAGAGCAUAGCUGUUGGGACCCGAAAGAUGGUGAACUAUGCCUGAAUAGGGCGAAGCCAGAGGAAACUCUGGUGGAGGCUCGCAGCGGUUCUGACGUGCAAAUCGAUCGUCAAAUUUGGGUAUAGGGGCGAAAGACUAAUCGAACCAUCUGGUAGCUGGUUCCUGC